GGAGGUAAGGGUACUGUAAUAUACUAUACUUCACCUGAUUUGGUAAAAUUGACAACAUUGGUAGACUGUGAUUAAGUUUUAUAUAUAUAUAUAUAUAUUAAGUCUUAUGUAUAUAAAUGCAAUAUCUGGAGUAACUACUAAAAAAUAUACAAAGAGAUACACUAAUAAACAAUAGGUAAAUCAGUAUGAAACUUUUAAAAAGGUUCAAAUUAACUCUCAGAAAGGUAAGAAAAAGAAAACCAAAGCCAGCCACAAAAAACAAAGUGGUAGAUGUAAGCCCUCACAUUGUAAUAAUGACAUGAAAUGUACAUGAUCUAAAUACACAAAUCAAAAAAAAUUGGCAGAGAGGAUUAAAAAACAUGACCCAACUAUAUGGGUGUCUAUAAGAAACUCACUUCAAAUAUAAUGAUACAGGCAAGUUGAAAAGAAGAUUAUUGGAAAAGAUAUAUCAUACAAACAUUAAUCAGAAGAAAGCAAGAGUGGCUCUAUUUAUAUCAAAUAAAGUAGGCUUAAGAGCAAAGAAAAUUGCCAGAGACAGAGUGGGACAUUAUAUGAGUCUGCCAGGAAGACAUAGCAAUCCUAAAUAUGUAUAUAUCAAACAGUAGAGCUGCAAGAUAUGUGAAGCAAAAACCAAUAGAAAUCUGGAACUAAACUAAACAGUGGAAUUAAACUAGAAAUCAAUAGUAGUCUCCAAUUAUGAUUAUGGAUUUGUCUCUUUCUCCUUUCAGUUCUAUUAGUCUGGUUAUCAAUAAGCGAUAACUGGAAAAAAAAAUCUCCAAAGACUUGGAAACUAAACAACACACUUCUCUGUGUCUAGCGGACAUCUUAAAGGAAACUUAAAAAUACACUGAACAAAUAAUUAAACAUGGGCAAAGGAGAUCCUAAGAAGCCAAGAGGCAAAAUGUCAUCAUACGCAUUCUUUGUGCAAACUUGCCAAGAGGAGCACAAGAAGAAGCACCCAGAUGGCUUCAGUCAACUUCUCAGAGUUUUCUAAGAAGUGCUCAGAAAGGUGGAACACCAUGUCUGCUAAAGAGAAAGGAAAAUUUGAAGACAUGGCAAAGGCGGACAAGGCCCGUUAUGAAAGAGAAAUGAAAACUUAUAUCCCCCCUAAAGGGGAAACAAAAAAGAAGUUCAAGGAUCCCAAUGCACCCUCCUUCGGCCUUUUUCUUGUUUUGUUCUGAGUAUCGCCCAAAAAUCAAAGGAGAACAUCCCGGCCUAUCCAUUGGUGAUGUUGCAAAGAAACUGGGAGAGAUGUGGAAUAACACUGCUACAGAUGACAAGCAGCCUUAUGAAAAGAAGGCUGCUCAGCUGAAGGAAAAAUAUGAAAAGGAUAUUGCUGCAUACCGAGCUAAAGGAAAGCCUGAUGCGGCAAAAAAGGGAGUUGUCAAGGCUGAAAAGAGCAAGAAAAGGAAGAAGGGGCGCCUGGAAAAAAAAAAAAAGGAAGAGGAGGAAGAUGAAGAAGAUGAGGAGGAUGAGAAGAUGAAGAAGAUGAUGAUGAAUAAGUUGGUUCUAGCGCAGUUUUUUUUUCUUGUCUAUAAAGCAUUUAACCCCCCUGUACACAACUCACUCCUUUUAAAGAAAAAAAUUGAAAUGUAAGGCUGUGUAAGAUUUGUUUUUAAACUGUACAGUGUCUUUCUUUGUAUAGUUAACACACUACC